rnacentral:rRNA from 1 species
UACGUAGGUGGCAAGCGUUGUCCGGAUUUAUUGGGCGUAAAGCGCGCGCAGGCGGUGAGGUAAGUCCGUCGUGAAAUCUCCCGGCUCAACUGGGAGGGUGCGGGGGAGACUGCCUGACUGGAGGCACUCAGAGGCCGGUGGAAUUCCCGGUGGAGUGGUGAAAUGCGUAGAGAUCGGGAGGAACACCAGGGGCGAAGGCGGCGGGCGGGGGUGACCUGACGCUGAGGCGCGAAAGCGUGGGGAGCGAACCGG